rnacentral:rRNA from 1 species
GAGGGAGCAGGCGGCAGCAAGGGUCUGUGGUGAAAGCCUGAAGCUUAACUUCAGUAAGCCAUAGAAACCAGGCAGCUAGAGUGCAGGAGAGGAUCGUGGAAUUCCAUGUGUAGCGGUGAAAUGCGUAGAUAUAUGGAGGAACACCAGUGGCGAAGGCGACGAUCUGGCCUGCAACUGACGCUCAGUCCCGAAAGCGUGGGGAGCAAAUAGGAUUAGAUACCCUAGUAGUCCACGCCGUAAACGAUGAGUACUAAGUGUUGGAUGUCAAAGUUCAGUGCUGCAGUUAACGCAAUAAGUACUCCGCCUGAGUAGUACGUUCGCAAGAAUGAAACUCAAAGGAAUUGACGGGGGCCCGCACAAGCGGUGGAGCAUGUGGUUUAAUUCGAAGCAACGCGAAGAACCUUACCAGGUCUUGACAUACUCAUAAAGGCUCCAGAGAUGGAGAGAUAGCUAUAUGAGAUACAGGUGGUGCAUGGUUGUCGUCAGCUCGUGUCGUGAGAUGUUGGGUUAAGUCCCGCAACGAGCGCAACCCUUAUCGUUAGUUACCAUCAUUAAGUUGGGGACUCUAGCGAGACUGCCAGUGACAAGCUGGAGGAAGGCGGGGAUGACGUCAAAUCAUCAUGCCCCUUAUGACCUGGGCUACACACGUGCUACAAUGGAUGGUGCAGAGGGAAGCGAAGCCGCGAGGUGAAGCAAAACCCAUAAAACCAUUCUCAGUUCGGAUUGUAGUCUGC